rnacentral:tRNA from 1 species
GCCUUUGUGGUGUAGUGGUCAGCACGCUCGGCGCGCAUUCGAGAGGUCCGUGGUUCGAAUCCUGGCCAAGGCA